rnacentral:rRNA from 1 species
GUCUACGACCAUACCACGUUGAAAGCACGACAUCUCGUCCGAUCUGUCAAGUUAAGCAACGUUGGGCCUGGUUAGUA